GUGCAGGCUCUAUUUGCUGGGCCCCUCUCUCCAUGGGGUCUCCAGAAGGGUGGCUUGGGCUGCUGCUUCUUUUUUGCAGUGCUGGGGUUGAGCCCAGGGCCUCCUGCAUGCUAGGCAAGCACUCUACCACCGAGCUUCAAAAGGGCAAGGGCAGAGCCAGGUGUGGUGGUGCAACCUGUAAUCCCAGCAGUUUGGGAGGCUGAGACAGGAGGAUCAGGAGUUCGAAGCCAGCCUCAGCAAAAGUGAGGCGCUAAGCAACUCAGUGUGACCUUGUCUCUAAAUAAAAUACAAAAUAGGGUUGGGGAUGUGGCUCAGUGGUUGAGCUCCCUUGAGUUCAAUUCCCAGUUACCAACAUCCCCACCCCCCACCACCACCAAAAAAAGGGCAAGGGUGGAAACUGAAAGGUCUCUUGGGGUUUAGGUAUGUGUUGGUAAGUUUGUGUGUCUGCAUAACUGUAUUAAAGGAUGCUCAGAUAGCUGGCAAACAUUAUUUCUGGGGUGUCUCUAAGGGUGUUUCUGGGAGAUGUUAACAUUUGAAUCACUAUACCAUGCAAAGAAAAUCAUCCUCUCCAAUACAUGUGGGCAUUAUCUAAUCCACUGAUGAACCCAAAUUUUAAAAAAUAAAAGGGUGGGGGUGGGGAGAAUUCUUCCCUUCCUGAGCUGGGUUGGUAUUUUCUUCUGUUCUUGGCAUUGGAGCUCCUGGUUCUGGGGCCUUCAGCUUCAGGGACUUGGGACUCACACCAGUGUCCACCCAGUUACUGACCUAUCACCCCUGUCCAGUUCUCAGGCCUUUGGUGUUAAACCGAAUCAUAUCAUUGACUUUUCUAGUUCUGCGGCUUGCAGACAGCAUAUCGAAGGGCUUCUGAGACUCCAUAAACCUGUGAGAUGGCUUCCAUAUUAAAUCUCUUCAUAUUUAUCCUAUAGGUCCUGUUUCUCUGGAGAACUCUGUCUAAUACAAGACUUGAAACUCCCACGUAAAUUCUGCCACAUAAAAGCAUAUCACAAGACCAGCCCAGAUUCAAAAGAUAUGGAAAUAUACUCAAUUGUGAUGGGAGGAGCACCAGUGUCACACUGCAAAAAGAUAUUUAUACAGGGAUUGGAAGAAUUUUUUAGCAAUCUUUUCAAAUGAGCCGGGCGCAGUGGCACAUGCCUGCAAUCCCAGCAGUUCUGGAGGCUGAGACAGGAGGAUUGUGAGUUCAAAGCCAGCCUCAGCAAUUUAACGAGGCCCUAAGCAACUCAGUGAGACCCGGUCUCUAAAUAAAAUACAAAAUAGGGCUGGGGAUGAGGCUCUGUGGUUGAGUGCCCCUGACUUCAAUCCCAGGUACCAUGAAAAAAAAUUUUGCAAAUUAUCUCCAGAAGAGGGUCCCAAAGCCAGGGGUGAUGGCAGAUGCCUAUAAUCUCAGUAAUUUGGGAGGCUGUGCCAGGAGCAAAUUUAAUGAGACCCUGACUCAAAAUAAAAAAUAAAAAGGAUUGAGGAUGCAGUUCAGAGGAGUGGUACAAUCUUCA
rnacentral:lncRNA from 1 species